GACGAACGCUGGCGGCGUGCUUAACACAUGCAAGUCGAGCGGCGCGGCGAACGGGUGAGUAACGCGUGAGUAACUGCCCCCCUCUCUGGGAUAAAAGUUGGAAACGGCUGCUAAUACCGGAUAGUGGGGGAUGACUCGCGUCCUAUCAACUGGGUGGGGGGGUAGUGGACUACCAAGGCGACGACGGGUAGCCGGCCUGAGAGUGCGACCGGCCACAAUGGGCUGCUGGACUGACCAAACUCCUACGGUAGGCAGCAGUGGGGAAUAUGGCCCAAUGGGGGAACCCCUGAUGCAGCAACGCCGCGUGCGGGAGGACGUCCUUCGGGUUGUAAACCGCUUUCAGCCAUGACGCGGUAGUGGCAGAAGAAGCACCGGCUAACUACGUGCCAGCAGCCGCGGUAAUUC
rnacentral:rRNA from 1 species